rnacentral:rRNA from 1 species
GACGAACGCUGGCGGCAUGCCUAAUACAUGCAAGUCGAGCGAACAGAUGAAGUGCUUGCACUUCUGACGUUAGCGGCGAACGGGUGAGUAACACGUAAGGAAUCUACCUAUAAGCGGGGGAUAACAUUCGGAAACGGGUGCUAAUACCGCAUAAUAUCUUCUUCCGUAUGGAAGAAGAUUGAAAGACGGCUCUGCUGUCACUUAUAGAUGACCUUGCGGUGCAUUAGUUAGUUGGGGGGGUAACGGCCUACCAAGACGAUGAUGCAUAGCCGACCUGAGAGGGUGAUCGGCCACAUUGGGACUGAGACACGGCCCAAACUACUACGGGAGGCAGCAGUAGGGAAUCUUCCGCAAUGGGCGAAAGCCUGACGGAGCAAUGCCGCGUGAGUGAAGAAGGCCUUCGGGUCGUAAAACUCUGUUAUAAGAGAAGAACAAAUUGUAGAGUAACUGCUACAGUCUUAACGGUAUCUUAUCAGAAAGCCACGGCUAACUACGUGCCAGCCGCCGCAGUAA